rnacentral:rRNA from 1 species
GACGAACGCUGGCGGCGUGCUUAACACAUGCAAGUCGAACGGAAAGGCCCCCUUGUGGGGUACUCGAGUGGCGAACGGGUGAGUAACACGUGAGUAACCUACCCUUGACUUUGGGAUAACUUCAGGAAACUGGGGCUAAUACCGGAUAGGAGCUCCUGCUGCAUGGUGGGGGUUGGAAAGUUUCGGCGGUUGGGGAUGGGCCCGCGGCUUAUCAGCUUGUUGGUGGGGUAGUGGCUCACCAAGGCUUUGACGGGUAGCCGGCCUGAGAGGGUGACCGGCCACAUUGGGACUGAGAUACGGCCCAGACUCCUACGGGAGGCAGCAGUGGGGAAUAUUGCACAAUGGGCGGAAGCCUGAUGCAGCAACGCCGCGUGCGGGAUGACGGCCUUCGGGUUGUAAACCGCUUUCGCCUGUGACGAAGCGUGAGUGACGGUAAUGGGUAAAGAAGCACCGGCUAACUACGUG